UGCACCAUUUCCUCCCCACACCAGCCAUCUUCCUCACCGCAGCUCCUAGCCCUGAGGACGAUGCCCCCUUCCUUCUUUGCAGGUGGCCGAUGCUUCCUCUGCUCCUCCAUCCCCAUCUCGCCCUUCAGCCAUGGGCGCCGCCAACCAUGGUGCUCGCCUCUUCCAGUCGUUCCUAUCUCCAGCGCUGGCUGCCAUCUCCUCCACGAGGUGUCUUCUCCGUCGCCGCUCCCUGCGUGAUUACCUUGGCCAGCGCCCUCGACUACUCAGCCAUGGAGGUCGCUGCCCCUUCUUUUCCUGAUCUCCCUCCAUCGGUUCAAAGCUCGGCGUCCCUGCUCCUGUCCCUCCCAUGGACGCCGCCCCUCCCUCAGCUCACUCCCUCUAGCCGCCAUGGAGCUCGCCCCUGUCCAAAUUCGGUUGCCUCUGUUUCCCCCUCUCUCUGUUGGUGGCUGGCAUCCCAUCUCCCCUGCGUUGGACGGCUGCCGCUUCGUUCUCGUCGCUGGCGUUCGUCCCUGCUCCAGCUAGUUCUCAUGGCCAUGCCUCUGUUCCCUAGGUCCGAGCUCGCCCAACUCCCUAGCCAUCUCUGCUCGCCCCUCUCUGUCUCUGUGCGAGCAGCAGCACGACGGGGCAGACCUAUGUCCUCGACGCGCACCAGAUGUUUGAUGGGAGGUUUGAACUGGAGUUCAUUAUUUUCCAUACGUGACCCGCAAGUCUUUGCACAGCGAUGAGGUUAUAUUCUUACUUGAGUAUUUUGUCUCUCGGUGUCGAUUAUAAACUAUUAAUCAUGUGUAUAUUUGUGUGUUCUUGUGAGGAGAGAAACCCUCGGGACCGAUGAUGAAGAAGUGAGGCCCGUUCGACGUUUGCUAAAUGUUCGGUAGAAGGUUCGAACCAAAAAUCAUCGUCGAUCUCGUGAUUUCGAGUUUGGUUUAGUUAUGGUUCGUUACACGUGAUGCGGAGGACAAGAGCCGAGUUGAUCUCAAAAUGAUGCUGGUGAACGAACCAGCGGAAUGGAUGAUCUGAUCAAGUGCUAGGACGGAAGAUGCUCACCAAGUGGUCGUCAUCUAACCACACUAACCUAGUGUUAUCCCAGGUUAUAAGUUUGUUCCGUUGUGGAUGGUGCUAAGUGCCGGUGGGCUCGGCCUUCUUAUAUAAGUAUAUCCCAUCUUUAGCUUCUUUAUUGAGGAUUGUCACUUAAGCUAGCAUGUAUUUGAAAACCUAUAAAUGUUUUAUACAUUUUAAAUUGUAAUUUUUUUGAAUCACUUUCUUUUGUAAUCACUCCGAUGAUAUAUAUUGUAAUCUUGUUAUAACUUGUAAAUGUUGUAACUUGUAACCAUUUUGUAAUAAAGAUUUUCCGCUG